rnacentral:rRNA from 1 species
UAGGGGGCGAGCGUUAUCCGGAUUUACUGGGUGUAAAGGGAGCGUAGACGGCCAUGCAAGCCUGAUGUGAAAGGUGCGGGCACAACCCGCACACUGCAUUGGGAACUGUAUGGCUGGAGUGCCGGAGGGGCAGGCGGAAUUCCUGGUGUAGCGGUGAAAUGCGUAGAUAUCAGGAGGAACACCGGUGGCGAAGGCGGCCCGCUGGACGGCGACUGACGUUGAGGCUCGAGAGCGUGGGGAGCGA